rnacentral:rRNA from 1 species
ACUCCUACGGGAGGCUGCAGUGGGGAAUAUUGCACAAUGGGGGAAACCCUGAUGCAGCGACGCCGCGUGAGUGAAGAAGUAUUUCGGUAUGUAAAGCUCUAUCAGCAGGGAAGAAAAUGACGGUACCUGACUAAGAAGCCCCGGCUAACUACGUGCCAGCAGCCGCGGUAAU